CACUAAGAAGCUACAAGGAAGCAUUAGCCUUUUAAGCUAAAUAUUGGUGCCUACCACCCACCCUUAGUGA
rnacentral:tRNA from 1 species